AUGGCGGCCACCGGCACCAAGCAGCAGCAGCCGACGGCAACGCCGGUGGCGACGGUGGUGGACCCCAAGUUCGAGUGGGCAGAGAAGGAGGACAGCUACGUGCUCCGCCUCACCCUGACGGGCUUCAGGAAGGAGGACUUCCGGGUGCAGGUGGACGGCACCGGGAAGCUCACCGUGCGAGGGGCGACCAGGCCGGGCGCCGGCGGGCCUGGCUCCGCCCUCUACAGGGUCUUCCAGCUGCCCGCAACAGCCAGCCUCGAGGACAUCGCUGGCCGCUUCGAGGCCGGCGUGCUCACGCUCACCGUGCCCAAGCUCGCCUCUUCCGGUGCCGGUGUGGCCAAGGAGGAGAGACUCAGCGACACCGUCCAGAAAAAGGAAGCCACCGAUGGAGCCGUGAAGGAGAGCACGCUCAGCCGGACGACUCGGCAGGUCGCCGAGCGCGUUCAGCGCAUGGAAGAGGAGGCCAACAGACGCAAGCAAGAGGAAGAGAAGAAGCCAGCGCCGGCGGCGAAGAAGGACCAGCACCCGAGGCCCAAGGCUCCUCAAGCGGCGGCAGCAGCUGCGGCGACACCCGAGAAGCAAGAGCCUGCCAUCGGCGAGAAGGACAAGGCGGCAGUUGACCGGGAGAGCCUGGAGGACAGGGUUAGGCUGUGCGGCGACGGUGAAGAAGUGAGGGCCAAGGCAGCUGCCACGCCGACAGCCAUGGACGCGAAAGCGGAGCACGAGAAGAAGGCGGCGGCGGCGACAUGCACCGCCUGGAAGGAGCGCAUUGUAGGGGAGCUGAAGGGUCUGACAGACAUGAAGUGGGCGGACAACACAUUGGAGAUUGCGAGGAAGAACAAGGAGGUGGUCGCCGUCGGCGUCGCCGCCUUCUCGCUCGGCUUCUUCGUCUCCCAGCGGCUCUUCGGUAAGUGA
rnacentral:rRNA from 1 species